rnacentral:rRNA from 1 species
GAACGCUGGAAGCCCUGGUGCUUGCACGGGGUGGAUGAGUGGCGAACGGGUGAGUUACACAUGAGUNACCUGCCCCCGACUUCGGGAUAAGCCCGGGAAACUGGGUCUAAUACCGGAUAUGACGAUCACUGGCAUGAGUGGUGUGGGGAAAGUUUUUUCGGUUGGGGAUGGGCUCGCGGCCUAUCAGUUUGUUGGUGAGGUAAUGGCUCACCAAGACGACGACGGGUAGCCGGCCUGAGAGGGCGACCGGCCACACUGGGACUGAGACACGGCCCAGACUCCUACGGGAGGCAGCAGUGGGGAAUAUUGCACAAUGGGGGAAACCCUGAUGCAGCGACGCAGCGUGCGGGAUGACGGCCUAUCGGGUUGUAAACCGCUUUCAGCAGGGAAGAAGCCCCUCGGGGGUGACGGUACCCUGCAGAAGAAGUACCGGCUAACUACGUGCCAGCAGCCGCGGUAAUACGUAGGGUACAAGCGUUGUCCGGAAUUAUUGGGCGUAAAGAGCUCGUAGGUGGUUGGUCACGUCUGCUGUGGAAACGCAACGGCUUAACGUUGCCGAUGCAGUGGGUACGGGCUGACUAGAGUGCAGUAGGGGAGUCUGGAAUUCCUGGUGUAGCGGUGAAAUGCGCAGAUAUCAGGAGGAA